GAUGAACGCUGGCGGCGUGCCUAAUACAUGCAAGUCGAGCGCUCAGACUUGGUGCUUGCACCUCUCACGUUAGCGGCGAACGGGUGAGUAACACGUGGAUAACCUACCUCUUAGCGUGGGAUAACUUCGGGAAACCGGAGCUAAUACCGGAUAAUAUUUUGUACCGCAUGGUUCUAUUGUGAAAGAUGCAUUUGCUGCCCCUUAUAGUUGGCUUCGCUUCGAUUUAGCUAGUGGGUAAGUAACCGGCCUACAAAGGCACCGUUCAUAAGCCGCCCUAAGAGGGGGACGGGCCACACGGGAACGGGGACACGGUCCAGACUCCUAGGGGGGGCGGCAUAAGGGAAUCUUGGGCAAGGGGCGAAAGCCUGACGGAGCAACGCCGGUGGGGGGAGAAAGGUUUUCGGACGUAAAGACUCGUUGAUAGGGAAGAAAGAAUGGGGGAAGGGACUAUGCACGUCUUGACGGUACCUAAUCAGAAAGCCACGGCUAACUACGUG
rnacentral:rRNA from 1 species